AUUGAACGCUGGCGGCAUGCUUUACACAUGCAAGUCGAACGGCAGCGGGGUAGUGCUUGCACUACUGUCCGGCGAGUGGCGAACGGGUGAGUAAUAUAUCGGAACGUACCGAGUAAUGGGGGAUAACCAAUCGAAAGAUUGGCUAAUACCGCAUACGUCCUGAGGGAGAAAGCGGGGGAUCGCAAGACCUCGCGUUAUUCGAGCGGCCGAUAACUGAUUAGCUAGUUGGUGGGGUAAAGGCCUACCAAGGCGACGAUCAGUAGCGGGUCUGAGAGGACGAUCCGCCACACUGGGACUGAGACACGGCCCAGACUCCUACGGGAGGCAGCAGUGGGGAAUUUUGGACAAUGGGGGCAACCCUGAUCCAGCCAUGCCGCGUGUAUGAAGAAGGCCUUCGGGUUGUAAAGUACUUUUGUUAGGGAAGAAAAGGGAAGUGCUAAUACCACUUUUUGCUGACGGUACCUAAAGAAUAAGCACCGGCUAACUACGUGCCAGCAGCCGCGGUAAUACGUAGGGUGCGAGCGUUAAUCGGAAUUACUGGGCGUAAAGCGAGCGCAGACGGUUAUUUAAGCAGGAUGUGAAAUCCCCGGGCUUAACCUGGGAACUGCGUUCUGAACUGGAUAGCUAGAGUGUGUCAGAGGGGGGUAGAAUUCCACGUGUAGCAGUGAAAUGCGUAGAGAUGUGGAGGAAUACCGAUGGCGAAGGCAGCCCCCUGGGAUAACACUGACGUUCAUGCUCGAAAGCGUGGGUAGCAAACAGG
rnacentral:rRNA from 1 species